GGCUAGCGGAGCCCUCCCUGCUCCCGGGCGGCUCUGGAGGAGCUCGGUGUUUGCCUCUAGCCCUUCGCUACCGGAGGAUCAGGUUCCUCCCCUCCUCCCCCUCCAGCUCCGGCCGCCGCCGCCGCCGCCGCCGCCUCCUUCUUGCAUGACACAGCAGAACCGCAGCUGCUGCAGCAAUUUCAAGCCAUCCGCCCAGGAAGCGCCGCAACCGGGACUCGGGAGGGGUGGAGGGGGCGAGGCAGAGGCCGCGGCCCCAGGGGAUCCUUGGCCCCACUGUGCACCACACACUCCUUUCCCAGCCCAGGGGCACGCGAACAAAAUGAGGCUCAAGCUGACCAGGCCGAGCCGGAGGAACGCUGGGGCUUGGCAGCAGAAGGGAUGGGACCAGAGAGAAGGGUGUGGAGGAGACCCCAGUGAGGGCCAGGACAUUUCAGGUAAAGAGAGGUCAUAUCUCCGUACCUCACUUCCUGACACAAACAAGUUUUCACUGUUGUCAGCA
rnacentral:lncRNA from 1 species